rnacentral:rRNA from 1 species
GACGAACGCUGGCGGCGUGCCUAAUACAUGCAAGUAGAACGCACAGUUUAUACCGUAGCUUGCUACACAAUAGACUGUGAGUUGCGAACGGGUGAGUAACGCGUAGGUAACCUGCCUGGUAGCGGGGGAUAACUAUUGGAAACGAUAGCUAAUACCGCAUAAUAUUGAUUAUUGCAUGAUAAUUGAUUGAAAGAUGCUAUUGCAUCACUGCCAGAUGGACCUGCGUUGUAUUAGCUAGUAGGUGAGGUAACGGCUCACCUAGGCGACGAUACAUAGCCGACCUGCGAGGGUGGUCGGCCACACUGGGACUGAGACACGGCCCAGACUCCUACGGGAGGCAGCCGUAGGGAAUCCUCGGCGAUGGACGAGAGUCUGACCGAGCAAGGCCGCGUGAGUGAAGAAGGUUUUCGGAUCGUGAAGCUCUGUUGUAAGAGAAGAACGGGUGUGAGAGUGGAAAGUUCACACUGUGACGGUAUCUGACCAGAAAGGGACGGCUAACUACGUG